rnacentral:rRNA from 1 species
GACGAACGCUGGCGGCGUGCUUAACACAUGCAAGUCGAACGGAAAGGCCCUGCUUUUGUGGGGUGCACGAGUGGCGAACGGGUGAGUAAAACGUGAGUAACCUGCCCUUGACUUUGGGAUAACUUCAGGAAACUGGGGCUAAUACCGGAUAGGAGCUCCUGCUGCAUGGUGGGGGUUGGAAAGUUUCGGCGGUUGUGGAUGGACUCGCGGCUUAUCAGCUUGUUGGGGGGGUAGUGGCUUACCAAGGCUUUGACGGGUAGCCGGCCUGGGAGCGUGACCGGCGACCAUGGGACUGAGGGACGGCCCAGAAUCCUACGGGAGGCAGCAGGGGAGAAUAUUGCACAAUGGGCGGAAGCCUGAUGCAGCAGCGCCGCGUGCGUGAUGACCGCCUUCGGGUGGUAAACCGCUUUCGCCUGUGACGAAGCGUUAGUGACGGUAAUGGGUAAAGAAGCACCGGCUAACUACGUG